rnacentral:rRNA from 1 species
GGGGACCCAGNACUUUUACUGUGAAAAAAUUAGAGUGCUCCAGGCAGGCCUAUGCUCGAAUACAUUAGCAUGGAAUAAUAGAAUAGGACGUGUGGUUCUAUUUUGUUGGUUUCUAGGACCGCCGUAAUGAUUAAUAGGGACAGUCGGGGGCAUCAGUAUUCAAUUGUCAGAGGUGAAAUUCUUGGAUCUAUUGAAGACUAACUACUGCGAAAGCAUUUGCCAAGGAUGUUUUCAUUGAUAAGGAACGAAAGUUAGGGGAUCGAAGACGAUCAGAUACCGUCGUAGUCUUAACUAUAAACUAUGCCGACUAGGGAUCGGACGAUGUUAUUUCUUGACGCGUUCGGCACCUUUCGAGAAAUCAAAGUGCUUGGGCUCCAGGGGGAGUAUGGUCGCAAGGCUGAAACUUAAAGAAAUUGACGGAAGGGCACCACCAGGGGUGGAACCUGCGGCUUAAUUUGACGCAACACGGGGAAACUCACCAGGUCCAGACACAGUGAGGAUUGACAGAUUGAGAGCUCUUUCUUGAUUCUGUGGGUGGUGGUGCAUGGCCGUUCUUAGUUGGUGGAGUGAUUUGUCUGCUUAAUUGCGAUAACGAACGAGACCU